CUCUGCGGCCAUCAUGGGAUCGUGCUCUUCUCGCUCGUUGAGCUGGUCCCUUCGCCGUGGCCUGCUGGUGACGGUCUGGAGCGAUGCUGAGCCCGGGCCCAGCCUCUCAGCUCCGCCUUGUGCGCUGCACAGAUCUAGGGGAGCCUGACGGGACGUUGACAACGUGGAAUAGGAGCAGUAUCAUCCCACCAUGAGGUUGGGGAUUUAAGAGUGGAAGAUUGCCAACAGCUGUGGCCUCCCAUGAGGGUGUCCCCUUUCAAGUUCUCAGAACGGACGCAGGACUGCAGAUCUGUGCUGGCAGCAGCAGAGGCUAUAUUCCCAGAGGAGUCUCCAGCCGGCCUGAAAGCAAAUAUCCUAAGUGACAUGUCUGCCAAUUUUGUUCUGGGUGGGCACAUUUGGUAAUCCUGUCUGUACCACAGGAUCUUCUAUGCCUUUUAAAAAUAAACAUUUGUUUAUAAACC